CUUUUCUGUAAAUACAAUAAAAAAGGAUAAAUUUUAGAAUGAACUACUUAUGAGGAAUCUUGGAAGAUGGUAUUUUGCGCCAAUUUUAUUACCUAUAAUUUGCGCCACCAAUGGGUAAAUUAAAGUUCACGCUACAGAAUAAGAAUUAGUUUGAACUCCUAGCUUGCUGGACUUAGUUGAGUUUUUGACUGCGACCUAACCACCUAACAUAGUCACUAUAAGUGUAUAAUUUAAAUUUAAUAUUUAUAUAUUAUACUGAAAACUCUACAAUCAACUAUUCAUUUCUUCGCCCAUACCAACUCCUAAAAUCCAAACAUAAGAUCGACUAGUACUCUCAGAAACUUAUAACCAUAAUGAAAAGUUCCUGAGGACCUGAGAUCACUACAACAGUGACCAACUUGUUACUUACGAGUAUAUAUGAUAUACCAUAGAGCAGAGCGAUAUUCACUUGCCCACUUUUAACAUUAGUUUUUAAUUAGUUAAUAUUAAUGUUAUUGUCGAUGUGUGAUUUUUAAAAAUAAUAAUUUACAUAUUAUAUGACUUUUAUUUUUAUGAAA